GGCAGUAGCGAGAUAGGACGAUAGUUGGAUGGGGAGUUAGGGUCAAGAUUGGGCUUCUUUAGAAUUGGGGUUACAGUUGCAUGUUUGAAGGGCAAUGGAAAUAUACCAGAGGAGAGAGAGAGAUUGCGGAUUUUAGUGAGAGGUGGAGAAAGAGAAGAAGACAGAGUACGGAUGAGAUGCGAGGGAAUUGGAUCUUGGGAGCAGGUGGUGGGGCGGGAGGACUGGAGCAGAGCAGAAACUUCUUCCAAUGUAGCGGGUGCGAAUGAACAUAGAACAGCAGAGGGAGUGAAGUUAGGGGAAGUAUUGUAAGAGGAAGAAGAAAGAUGAGAUAUAUCUUCUCUGAUUGUAGAGAUCUUGUCAGUGAAGUGAGUUGCAAAGUCUGAGGCAGUCAAGUUAGUAGGUGGAGGAGGAACAGCAGAGCGAAGAAGAGAGUUAAAUGUGUGAAAUAGUCGUUUGGGUUUGCGGGAGAGUGUAG